AUGUGUGGGUAUCGAUCGAACAAAGGGCAGGGGCGACCAAGGGAUUUUCUUCAAACCCUAGUUUCACAUCAAAUCUCUAAAUUGAAGCUUUAAAUCUGCCCUAAAUCAAGUCUUGAACAUAAAUUAGUGAUCCCCUUGUUGUAAGGAUCAAAAGGUAAAGAAUCCGGGUCGUCAAGUGGACAAGCCGGGGGUGACACACGCUUAAAGGGUGCGCUUUGAAGUGCUCAUACUCGAUAAUUGUAGAAGCAUGGUACGGCCCGUGGUCAUGGAUGUUGAUCAAGCAAUGGGAUUCAAGAACCGAACACAUAUUUUGAAUGCUUCCGCAAUAAUCUAUUCAAGCUAGACUUAGACGUUGUUGUUGAAACUUUGCUAAAUGUCUUGUUUUUAAACCAGUUAGUACGUUCUGUUACUUAUUAACUUAACUUUGUAAAAACCAAAAAUAUGUUUUGUUGUAUAAAAUAUGU
rnacentral:lncRNA from 1 species